rfam:Erythranthe guttata cultivar DTN x IM62 scaffold_29_contig_15, whole genome shotgun sequence.
CCCAUGGACCAUGAAGAUCUUGUUGAGAAAAUUCUUGAUGGUCUAGAUGACGACUAUAAACCUAUUGUUGAUGUCGUUGAAGGUCGUGAAACACCAAUCACCUUUGAUGAACUCCAUGAAAAAUUGAUCAAUA